GAACUGUAGCAACACGGAUCACUUGCAUUGAGUCCUACAUCACAUUCCUCUCCUUUCUCCACGAUCCGGUUUCCACAGAUUGGUUGAUCGCUGACUGGUGGGUUCCAACACACACACACACACACACACACACACACACACACACACACACACACACACACACACACACACACACAGAGUUCAUGAGAGUUCUUUUCAAGUCAAUCAUUUGUAGAGAUUUCAUUUGCAGAUUUCUGUGUAACAGCAAAACACAAAAACAAACAAAAAAGCAACAGCAAAUCAGAAAACAAAAAUGAAAACACAACAGCAAAUUAAGGAACACAUCAGAAUGUUUUGGACAUGGCAUAUGUAUGAGUAUCACAAGGAGAAAAAUAAAAAGAAAUUUUCGGUUAUCUAGUUAGCCUUAAAAAAAAAAAGUUUCAAUGCGAUGUUACUUAUGUUAUUAUAGUGAGGACUAAUUCUUUCUUCUGACUAAAAUGGCUUCCUGUUUUUUUUUCUUUUGGUUUUGUUGUUGCGUUUUCUGAUUUGCGGCCAUGUUUCCAAAUUAACUGUAGAGUUUCUGAAUUUGCUGUCCUGUUUUGUAAUUUGCCAUCAUGAUUAAGAAUUUGAAUUAUGUUAGGUAAUGUUUCCGAAUUUGCUAUUGUGUUUUGGAACUGGCUUUCAUGUUUCCAAAUGUACUUUUUUGCUUGUUGUAUUCUUGAUUUGUCUUAUUGUUGUUGUUAUUGUUGUUUACACAUAAAGGCCAACUUCCAGAUUGUAAACUGAGACAUGUUCAGACAAAUUAUCAAGAUCAGGAACGGGCCGUACAGAGCAAUCGGCUCAUGUGCUGGAGGCUGCACGGUGAGAAACGUUCGCUGUUCUCCUUCACCUCAUCUGCAGCAUGUGGGAACAUCAGGAAGUGUCCUUUGCCUUCAGUGAUUCCCAGAUCACCACAGUCUGCACCUUCAUCAUGCUAACAUGCAAACAUAGAGACAGUGACCUUGACGCUGAGUGUGGGUUUACUCGGGUUAUUAAUUGAAUCAGGGUAUUAAUUUUAUAUAACAACAGCUCUGACCAUAAUGCAGCUUCAAAUAACAGGUUUAUAUUAGUGUACUUGUUCUAAUAUAUGCUAAAUAGUUAUAUAUAAUAUGUAACUUAGGAUGGAUGGAUGCUAUUCAAAACAAUUUUUUUCAAAAGCAGUCACUGUUUUUUAUCCUUAUGCUGCCAAAUGUUUCAAACACUACAAUAACAAUUUUGUUCAUCACAGUGCACAGGUUCUGAAGUUCUGUUCUCUGCUCAGUUAAAAUUUGGCAAUGAUAGGUUCGUGCUGUGGAGUCUAUUUUGUGAGAUCAUUAACUGCACUUCCCAAACCAGUUUCAUACAAAAUACUAGGAGAAUCUUUAAAAAAAAUAAAUAAUAACAUAGAAAUGUCACACCCCCUUUAAGUGUCAUACAUUUUGUAGUAUUACAACCUGGAAUUGAAAUGGACUUAACUUGUAUAUAAAUUUUAUAUCAUGAAUCUACACAAAAUAGCCCAUAAUAUUAAAGUGAAAUUAAAAAUGUG